ensembl:lncRNA
GUGAAUUUAUGUGCAGGUAUCUCCGCGCUCGCUGAUGAUGUGAAGAGGGAACGAAAAUGUCCACUUUAGUAAAAAAAAAAAAAAGAUACAAAGAUUGUAAAGUGCUUGUAGCGUCUAUGAUGGGUGAGUAUUUGUCGGCGUCAUUUACUGCUAUUAGAAUGCCAAUUACGAUUUGGUGUGUGCCAUUAAAUGGCUUUUUAAGCAGACCUCAAAAAUGAGUAGGCUGGAAAAUGGGAUUGAUGGAGGUGAGACGAUACUGUUUUGUUGAAGGAGUGCUUUGUGAAUUCAAAUGAACCUAAUGAACCGUGUUAAAAUAUUGAAGCGUGAUGGUUCUGUGAAUGGCGCUAUUAUCAAAGUCAAACACAAGGUCGCGCAGGAAAACGUCGAGCCCGCCGGUUCAUAGUCGCACCUCUCGUUUUGGGCCAAGGCUCUGGGUUUGCGACACUCGUUGGUGAUUCAGUUCUCGCUGAUCCUCAAGCCUCAGAUUCAUUUAGGGAAUUGGUGUCAAACAUAAGGCCUGGGGGCCAGAAUCGGCCUGGCAGAGACUCCAAUCCAGCUCACUGGAUAGCUUUGAAAAAAAAAAAAAAAACGAGAAAGAAGGGUAUAAAUUUUGAACUUUAACUGUAUUUUCAUGAACUUUAAAGCAUUUCUUACUUAUUAAAAAUCUCCCCCAUUGUCAUUCAAACUAGACUUCAGUAACUGACUAAUAGAUAAGCAGUUAAAUGAUGGAAAGAUUAGUUUUUUUUUCACCAUUUACCAUACAAUGUAUUUAUUUCACAAUUGGCUCAGUUUAAAAAUAUAAAAGGUGUUCUAUGAAUGAAAAACAUUCAGUUUUGUAAUUAUAGGAGAGGUUUUUUUUGGUGAUUUUACACAUUUAUUUAUUUAUUCAUACACAUUUCUUCCAUUUACUACAGCUGCAUUUCUUUUCAUGUGGAAAAGCUGAGCCGCACUGCUAAAAUCGAACUUCUUUAUCUUGUAUUAAAACAUCUCAUGGACUGUAAAUGUGUAGUUAAGGGGGCUUUCGCUGGUACGGUCUACUUAAGAUCAAAGUGGGUUGCAUGUGGCCCAUGGUGUAAAAUGAGUUUGACAUUCCUGAUUUAGCGUUUUCAGAGCUGACUUAGUGUCUUCCCAGAGAUGUUAGGAAGUCUAGGUUAGAGGAAACAAUAGACCUAGUGUAUGUGUGUGCCAGACGUCCUGGAAAGCUUUGCUAAAUAAUAAUUUACUUUGUGCAGUGUUUAUCUAAUGAAAGUGGAAAAUAUGAACUUAAAUAAAAAGUUGGUCCAUU